rnacentral:rRNA from 1 species
CCUACGGGUGGCAGCAGUGAGGAAUAUUGGUCAAUGGACGGAAGUCUGAACCAGCCAUGCCGCGUGCAGGAAGACGGCCCUAUGAGUUGUAAACUUCUUUUGUACAAGGGUAAACCUGAAUACGUGUAUUCAGCUGAAAGUACUGUACGAAUAAGGAUCGGCUAACUCCGUGCCAGCAGCCGCGGUAAUACGGAGGAUCCAAGCGUUAUCCGGAUUUAUUGGGUUUAAAGGGUGCGUAGGCGGAUUGAUAAAUUAGAGGUGAAAUGUCCGAGCUUAACUCGGGAACUGCCUCUAAUACUGGUGAUCUGGAGAGUGGGUGAGGUACGCGGAAUGUAUGGUGUAGCGGUGAAAUGCUUAGAGAUCAUACAGAACACCGAUUGCGAAGGCAGCUUACCAACCUAUAUCUGACGUUGAGGCACGAAAGCGUGGGGAGCGAACAGGAUUAGAUACCCCGGUAGUC